rnacentral:lncRNA from 1 species
UUUAUUUCUUUUUUUUAUCUUUCAUAAGGAGUAUGUAUUGACAUGUAUACAUCCUUCUAUUUUUUUUCAUUCAUAUUUUUUCUUUUCUAUUUUCUUUUUCUAUUUUUCUUUUUCUACCAACUUCUUAAAUAUUACAAACAUAAUUAUUCAACCCCACACAAUUUCAAACAAGACUCUUUCAACCCUUUGAAUAGGGUGAU